GGGGCUAGGCGGGGCGGGGAGUGAAACAGCAUAGGCUCCGCCCCUCGCGGCUCUUCCCCCGGAAUAGCGUCAUCAGUUCUAUAAGAGAGCGUGUGCUGGAGGCCUCGGCCUUUCACAUUCAGGAAGCGUCGGGAUUAGGUGAAAGUACGUAGUUGUCUUUCGUAAGUUAAAAUGAUUAUUGGGCCGAAACUUACUGCCUUACCUAAAAGGCAGCGCAGUCAGGAUAUUGGUAGGUCGGGGGCGGCUUUGGAAACCCUUAAGUUUACAAGCAUGCGCGGACUUGAGUGCUCAUUAGGUCGCCGGGCGUCCACGUGCAGCCCUGGACCCUGAACCCCGGCGUGCGUGGGCCGUGGGCCCUCGGGGAAAGGUUCCGUGCACUCGGGGACUCCGGUGAAGCCUGUUCCGCCGUCUGUGUCAUGUGGCCAUCUUGAGUCUACUCUGUCGCUCUUGUGCCAUAGCACCCCGAGAACCGUCAGUUUGAGCCAGAUGAAGCUGAGCUGAACACAUUACGAUGGAUGAUGGAAACAUAAGCUAUCAAGAAAUCCAAGUGGUAAUGGGCGAAGUUUAUUCAGCAUCCGGCAAUGGACUUAUCGUAGUUGGGGAAACGGGUGUUCCGAAUAAUAUCCUGGAAGUUAUCAGGACACCUAUUUUAAAUAUAGGCCUGAAUUUUGUAAAGUAAUAUUUAAGGUGGUCCGUGAUAAUUAAAUAAAAUGCUUAAUUCAUGUGGCUA
rnacentral:lncRNA from 1 species